AUUGGCGUACGCCAUAUUGCUCGGAUCUUCGUCAUUUAAUUUAAAUCACUAUCAUACAAGUUCAAAUCAUCUUUAAAUCCAAACCUACAAAUCCAAAAUUCAAACUAUUUUCGUAAAUCAAAUACAUCAUCCAAACAUAUCUUUCUUAAAAUUAAACUUCGGACGAUAAGAGAUGGGAGGCGUACGCCUCACAAUCUCUCGAUUAUUUG
rnacentral:lncRNA from 1 species